CCUACGCGUGGCAGCAGUGGGGAAUAUUGGGCAAUGGGCGCAAGCCUGACCCAGCAACGCCGCGUGAAGCAAGAAGGCUUUCGGGUUGUAAACUUCUUUUAAGAGGGAAGAGCAGAAGACGGUACCUCUUGAAUAAGCCACGGCUAACUACGUGCCAGCAGCCGCGGUAAUACGUAGGUGGCAAGCGUUGUCCGGAUUUACUGGGUGGAAAGGGCGUGCAGCCGGGAAGACAAGUCAGAUGUGAAAUCCCGCGGCUCAACCGCGGAACUGCAUUUGAAACUGUUUUUCUUGAGUACCGGAGAGGUCAGCGGAAUUCCUUGUGUAGCGGCGAAAUGCGUAGAUAUAAGGAAGAACACCAGUGGCGAAGGCGGAUGACUGGACGGCAACUGACGGUGAGGCGCGAAAGCGUGGGGAGCAAACAGGAUUAGAUACCCCGGUAGUC
rnacentral:rRNA from 1 species